GACGAACGCUGGCGGCGUGCUUAACACAUGCAAGUCGAACGGAAAGGCCCUGCUUUUGUGGGGUGCUCGAGUGGCGAACGGGUGAGUAACACGUGAGUAACCUGCCCUUGACUUUGGGAUAACUUCAGGAAACUUGGGCUAAUACCGUAUAGGAGCUCCUGCUUCAUGGUGGGGUUUGGAAAGUUUCGGCGGUUGGGGAUGGACUCGCGGCUUAUCGGCUUGUUGGUGGGGUAGUGGCUUACCAAGGCUUUGGCGGGUAGCCGGCCGGAGAGGGUGACCGGCCACAUUGGGACUGAGAUACGGCCCAGACUCCUACGGGAGGCAGCAGUGGGGAAUAUUGCACAAUGGGCGGAAGCCUGAUGCAGCAACGCCGCGUGCGGGAUGACGGCCUUCGGGUUGUAAACCGCUUUCGCCUGUGACGAAGCGUGAGUGACGGUAAUGGGUAAAGAAGCACCGGCUAACUACGUG
rnacentral:rRNA from 1 species